rnacentral:lncRNA from 1 species
UUAAUUUAUAAUAUUACACCAUAUAUUUUCAUGACAACCAUAUAUUGAAAUUAGCUAGGUUUUUAAUUGAUAAUUUUGGUACUAAAGAAACAAAUUUUCUGUAAUAUAUUGAAAUAUCGAAAAAUGAAUUGAGAUUCUAUUAGUAGUAUUUGCAAUCUAUGGUUAAUGUUAUUAAAUCCAACCCGGAUCUGCGGCGGGACUUGUAAGCAUGGUCACAUAUAAACACAUAGUCACUAACCCAAUCUAAAACAUGUUAGCCAUAAACCCAGUAAAGUAAACUCAUCAGUAAAUCCGGUCAGGCGUGAUCUUCAUAGGACGGCUCAAAUGAGGCAGUUAGGCGUAGAUCCUCAUAAGGCAGGUAGUAUCGUCGGUAAUCGAAUCGUCUUUGUAAUCUUUCUCGUAAUUGUAAUAUCUAAAUAAAUCCCCGACAAAAAAAAAAAAAAGUAAACUCAUCAGUAAAACGUGCAUUAAUUGUUGAUUGAAUGAUUCAUAAUUAAAAUUCUUUAAAAUAUUAAUUAAAAUUUAUCAUUUUGUUUAAUUGUAUUUUUAUAUAUUGAAUAAAAUAUGUUAUUUAUGAUUUUUUAGCUUCUGUUUAUAUAUACUAUGUUGUCUGAAGAAAAUAUGUGGAAUUGUUAUAAAAUUUUACCAAAAUCAACUAACGUGAUACAUUAUAUGUGGAUUUAAUAUUGAUCCAUUGACCUGGUAAAGUGGUAGGUAAUCUGGUUCGCUGUUUGGGACAGGUUUAAGAGCAUCGCAAAUUCACAACUAAUAUACUGUAUGAGAUUCUUACAUGUUUUUUUAAUAUUCUUUGUAAAAAGAACAUUCUUUUAGGAGGAAUCGACACAUCUGCAAUUACAAUGACAUGGGCAAUGUCAGAACUUGCUAGAAACCCUAGAGUGAUGAAGAAACUUCAAACCGAAAUCAGAAGCCAAAUCAAGAACAAAGAAAGAAUCAGCUUCGAUGACACAGAUCAGCUCAAAUACCUGAAAAUGGUGAUCAAAGAAACAUGGAGGCUACAUCCUCCAACACCACUUCUACUUCCAAGAGAAGUAACCUCGGAGUUUGAGAUCGACGGCUACACGAUUCCCGUCAAGACACGUCUUCAUGUGAAUGUCUGGGCUAUUGGGCGUGAUCCGGAUAC